UGUUUUGUUUCUUGUUAUUCCAGUAUUACUGUUUUAUCAAUGGAGGAUCACCAAUUAUUAUCGAGUUACUUUAUUCGCAUCUUCUGCAUUCUUAUCACAACAGCAGCAAAGAACACCAGUAGUGUUCCAAACUAAGGAUGUACAAGC
rnacentral:ribozyme from 14 species